rnacentral:rRNA from 1 species
UGAGGAAUAUUGCGCAAUGGACGAAAGUCUGACGCAGCCAUGCCGCGUGCAGGAUUGAAGGCCCUAUGGGUUGUAAACUGCUUUUGUACGGGAAUAAACCUUUCCUCGUGAGGAAAGCUGAAGGUACCGUAAGAAUAAGCACCGGCUAACUCCGUGCCAGCAGCCGCGGUAAUACGGAGGGUGCAAGCGUUAUCCGGAUUUAUUGGGUUUAAAGGGUCCGUAGGCGGAUCGUUAAGUCAGUGGUGAAAGCCCAUAGCUCAACUAUGGAACUGCCAUUGAUACUGGCGAUCUUGAGUAUAAUUGAAGUGGGCGGAAUGUGUGGUGUAGCGGUGAAAUGCUUAGAUAUCACACAGAACACCGAUUGCGAAGGCAGCUCACUAAUUUGUAACUGACGCUGAGGGACGAAAGUGUGGGGAUCAAACAGG